rnacentral:ncRNA from 1 species
GGAAGCAACCAUCCUUUGAAGAAAGCGUAAUAGCUCACUCGUCUAGCUCCAUGGAACCGAAAAUGUCUCAGGGCUCAAGUGAUUCACCGAAGUAAUGAGACCUUGAAAGAAGCUUUUUCAAGUGUCAUUAGUGGGACGUUCUGUCAAUCGGGGAAGGUUUUUGGUGACAAGACCUGGAGAUAUCAGAAGUGAGAAUGCUGACAUGAGUAACGAGAAACCCUGUGAAAAACAUGAUCGCCUACCACUGGAAGACUUUGUGCGUUCAAUCAAUCUACACAGAGUGAAUCGGUCCCUAAGGAACCCCCGAAAGGGAUGUCGUCCGAUGGGUACACGAAAGUGACGAAGUAGCUUUGACUACAGAACCAUGCCUGUCUGUUGGAGCGAAUAGGAUAAUCGGGCCGAGGACAGCCCCCUCUUCCCUCACUCUCCUUUCCCGCUCCGUGGGAUUCACCUUGAGUCAUCAAAGCCUUUCUGACUCGACCUAGUCUGAUCGCCCUACGCGACUGGCGCGGCUGAAAGGCGAAACUCUCGUCUCCGUUUGUCGACCGCUACGUGGGGGGCGGACACCUUUUUUGUUAUCUAAAGGCUUUGACUCGACCCAGCGGACGAGGCGAGCUCCGGCUCCACGCACCUACUGACACCUUUCUCGGCACUUGAGAGUGUGCGCUUUCGUUUUCGAAUGUCUCGUUCAGCCUCACGAGUCUACAAGCCUUUCUCAUUCCAGUGCUCACCUUUGAGUAGGGGUCCCGAGAGAGCGUACCGCCAUAGUCGUGAGUCUAUUUAUAGUCACGACU